rnacentral:rRNA from 1 species
GCCUAAUACAUGCAAGUCGAGCGGACCGACGGGAGCUUGCUCCCUUAGGUCAGCGGCGGACGGGUGAGUAACACGUGGGUAACCUGCCUGUAAGACUGGGAUAACUCCGGGAAACCGGGGCUAAUACCGGAUGCUUGAUUGAACCGCAUGGUUCAAUCAUAAAAGGUGGCUUUUAGCUACCACUUACAGAUGGACCCGCGGCGCAUUAGCUAGUUGGUGAGGUAACGGCUCACCAAGGCGACGAUGCGUAGCCGACCUGAGAGGGUGAUCGGCCACACUGGGACUGAGACACGGCCCAGACUCCUACGGGAGGCAGCAGUAGGGAAUCUUCCGCAAUGGACGAAAGUCUGACGGAGCAACGCCGCGUGAGUGAUGAAGGUUUUCGGAUCGUAAAACUCUGUUGUUAGGGAAGAACAAGUACCGUUCGAAUAGGGCGGCACCUUGACGGUACCUAACCAGAAAGCCACGGCUAACUACGUGCCAGCAGCCGCGGUAAUACGUAGGUGGCAAGCGUUGUCCGGAAUUAUUGGGCGUAAAGCGCGCGCAGGCGGUUUCUUAAGUCUGAUGUGAAAGCCCCCGGCUCAACCGGGGAGGGUCAUUGGAAACUGGGGAACUUGAGUGCAGAAGAGGAGAGUGGAAUUCCACGUGUAGCGGUGAAAUGCGUAGAGAUGUGGAGGAACACCAGUGGCGAAGGCGACUCUCUGGUCUGUAACUGACGCUGAGGCGCGAAAGCGUGGGGAGCGAACAGG